UAAGGUUAAAAAGGAACACCAAAAUGACCAAAAGCAAAUAAUAACAAAUUGAAAAAAGAUGUAAUAGAGUUAAAAGUGUAUGAAAUAGAAGCCUAAACGGCUGAUUGACUAGCUGUUAGCCGGUUCUUAUUACGUCUUAUGCUUUUCAUGCUGUCCCAACCCAUUUAUGCUUUUUCUGCUCUUUUGUUGCCAAAUCAAUUUAUCUAUUUAUCUAUUUAUUUAUUAUAAUAACUGUGAUAUGUUAAAUUGUUGUAUAUUUAUUCGACCAUUGUGUUUGGUUUUCACAAAAGACUCUUGUAAAGUUCAGUUAUUUCACUCUUUUUAAUCUGGUUCAAGAAAAAUGUUGAAAUUCAUUGUGUAAGCCUUUUUUACAUUGCCAUUUGCCUAUCAACGGAAAGCAUAUUCAUUUGACCAUCUGAUUAUAACCUUUUCAUUAUUAUUAUCAUUCCAACGUCCUGUUGAUGAGUAAAUCUCAGUAGUUUCAUCGUUUUACCCUAAACUUGAAGCUAUUUCCUAUCCUGGUCAAUAAUAAUCACCAAUUGGAUCAUCUGAAUGUGUAUACAAAUCUAACAUGAAAACAAUUCCAUGAUAUCUUUUCCCUUUAUCUUGUUAACAUGGGUAAAAAUGGAUCAACAUGGUGAUGCUACAAUUGAAGGAUUAUCCUUUUAGGAUGUAAGGAAAAGGCUAAAGAUGUAGCCAACAGAAACAGGCUGAGGACAAGAAAAGCAAGAUAAAAGGCGACAAAAUUGAUAAAAUAUAAUGGUUUUAUAAUGGCAACUACCAGCAACCGGGAACCUCAAUAAUACUUACCACAUAAGCCAAAAUAUUUGACAGAAAUGAGCUUUUUUUGAAGGCAAGAAAUCUUUUUGAGCUGACAAAGAUUCUCAUAAUCUCUGCCAUCAAUUCCGCAAACAGGCUCAUUGGUUAGAGCAAGAGAUUCACUUUGUGAAUGAGGAUAUUUUUCAUGUAACCAUGUAACUACAUCAGGAUAAUCAAGACAUUUCUCUGGACAUCGGCACUCACUUCCAAGUCCACCUUUCAAUUGUAUACAAUGGGCACCAAAUUUACAAUCAGAUUCAACGCAUUUACUAUGAAUUUCAUCUACAACAAGAAAGAAAGUAAAGAUUAACCAAGUGAAAUAUCAAUAAUCAAAUUAAGCAAAUUCAACAGCCACAUCGCUGGUUGAAAUAUAUACACAAUUUGGCUCAACACAAUCAACCCCAUUAAUUCAAGAGGAAACGUCAAAAUUUGCUUUACAAUACAAAGAUGAUCAUAACUUGAUUACUAUUGAACUUUCAACUCCUUGGUUUCGUUUUUAUCUAAAUUAAUCUUAUGAUUGAUGAUUACCUUUACAACGAUUUACUUUCACCAUAAUCAUCAUCAUCAUCAUCAUACCCAUUCUU